rnacentral:tRNA from 1 species
AAGGAUAUAACUCAGUGGUAGAGUGCCACCCUGACAUGGUGGAAGCCAUCAGUUCAAGCCUGAUUAUCCUUA